rnacentral:sRNA from 1 species
GCAUCCACCGCUGAGCUGGGAGAAAGAUGGCGGCAGCCGUGCGACAGGAUUUGGCCCAGCUCAUGAAUUCGAGCGGCUCUCAUAAAGAUCUGGCUGGCAAGUAUCGUCAGAUCCUGGAAAAAGCCAUUCAGUUAUCUGGAGCAGAACAACUAGAAGCUUUGAAAGCUUUUGUGGAAGCAAUGGUAAAUGAGAAUGUCAGUCUCGUGAUCUCGCGGCAGUUGCUGACUGAUUUUUGCACACAUCUUCCUAACUUGCCUGAUAGCACAGCCAAAGAAAUCUAUCACUUCACCUUGGAAAAGAUCCAGCCUAGAGUCAUUUCAUUUGAGGAGCAGGUUGCUUCCAUAAGACAGCAUCUUGCAUCUAUAUAUGAGAAAGAAGAAGAUUGGAGAAAUGCAGCCCAAGUGUUGGUGGGAAUUCCUUUGGAAACAGGACAAAAGUAUAACAGUACAAUGUAGAUUAUAAACUGGAGACUUACUUGAAGAUUGCUAGGCUAUAUCUGGAGGAUGAUGAUCCAGUCCAGGCAGAGGCUUACAUAAAUCGAGCAUCGUUGCUUCAGAAUGAAUCAACCAAUGAACAAU